GUUCUCAUUUUUCUACUGCUCGUGGAUUUACGCGCACGUUGGAACCGAAGAGAGCUCUGUUGUUGCAAUGUUCAGCCCACAAGAGCUUACUGGUGAAGGAAUGGGACAAGACCCAUCUUUAUGCAAAGCCAGCGUUACAGUAAUGUUCCAGCAUCUCAUAAUCUAUCCUGGGGAAUUCAGCUGCCUCCCAGGGUGAAUACAGGUAUUCCUGAUGACAGUCUGCCUCUAUCUUACAGAGCAGCUUGUUGCUAUAUACCAUUGAAAAGCCUUCAGAGCUGAGAGGUACUACUAACCAAUAACCUGCUUGGCUCAAAGGGCCAGCACCUUCUCUCUAAAGCCCAAGAGGAGUUUGAGGAAAACUAGGUGUCUGUGUUCACUCCAGGCUGAAGUUACAGGUCUGAGCAAAUAAGGUGUAUAAAAAAUGGAAUCUGUCUUGGAGGACAUCAGAAGGUGAAUUUUCCAAGUUCUUGGACAACCUAGCUGUUGAAAAGCUUUCUGGGUUUGGGGGGUAUUUCAGAUGUACCUUAAAGUGUUAGCAGACACAGAUUAAGACACUGGGAGCCAAUGAAACAGCAGUUGAGGGUUUGCUGUGUAUCACAUUUCUGUAUUUUAUCACCCCCUUCCUGCAACAUUAUUUAUCUGGAAUCUACCUGCCCUUUUGUUUUUUAGAUACAAGGGCUUGGUUUUGUUACCCAGGCUGGUUUCAAGGCCAUAGCUUUAAGAGAUCCUCUCACCACAGAUUUCCAAAGUGCUGGGAUUGCAGGUGUGAUUCAUGGCACCCAGACUUUGCUGCCUUUCUUACAUGAUCCAGGCCCAGAACCCAAACUCAGGCACUGUAUAGAUGACCACUUUCGUAAACUACUGACCUAGCUUGUUGCCAAUUGUUGAUUGAACUUCCCAUAACUCCACUUCGUGUCUGUUCCUCUGUAUACAGCCACCUUCUGUUCCCGUCAUGAGCCUUUAGGUCUCCAUUUGCAUAUUGCAAAUACUAUGUUCCAUGUAGGUAGCUCAUUCAGGGCCUUGCUCUUCACUUCAAAAAAGGUUCCCUUGAGGACUGGCUGUCAAUUUGUGUUGCUGUGUUGGUUGUUGAUGAAAAUAAUAAAAUGAUUGAUUACAUA
rnacentral:lncRNA from 10 species